UCACAUCACAUCACAGCACAUAUCUGUUGAUUGUGUUUGUUGAAUGCUUUGAAAAGAAAUACAAGUUUGGAUGCUUUCUCUAUGCCUAACUUAUUACGUUCUUGUGAAUGCACAAAUUUAUAUUAUGAGAAGACUCUCUCUUCACUUGCUGAAUUAGCUGUGCUAAAAGGACUUAACAACUAAAUGGAAAACUAUCAGAGAUGGAUACAGAAAAGCACUUGACAGAGCAAAAAAUGCGAGGAAAUCAGGAGCCCCCGCUUCAAAAAUCAAGAAGUAUGUUUACCACGACCAAAUGGAUUUCUUAAGGAAAGUUUUUGAACGGAGGGUGACUGAAGAUUCUCUUGCCAGUGACAACAGUGACCCAGAAAGUUGCCUCGGAAGUGUAGAAGGUGAAGCUGAGGAUCAACAACAGUUUACCGUAGGUGCGGGACCCUCGAAUCCGGAAAGUCGUACCACCCAACAAAGGGAGGUUCUUUCAACAAACAAGAUGGGACGAAAAGAAACCCCCAGAAGCCACCCUGACGAAUUUGAGCAGAAAAUACUGCAUUUAUUGGAAACCCAAACAGACACAUUUGUUUCAUGCAAGUACUAGUGCCAACACUGGAAACCUUCACUGAUGAUGAGGUCCUCGAAUUCCAAGCUGGUGCACUGAAUUUGAUUCAGAAAAUAAAAUCUGCAAGGAAUAAUCCACCUCACUCCGCUGUUACAUUUGUUAUCGAUCCAAACCAGACAAAUCAGCCUUUUGCAUGGGGACAACCAAGCACUCCUCAGCAAUCCAAUCAUAGUUGCUAUAACUACUCGCAUAUAAUGCCCACCUCAUGUAUGCCCUCUCCCAGCCCAAGCAAUACCAUAACCACGUCUCCAACACAGACUCCAUUUCCACAGGAUAUGGGACGAUAGUGUAAUUGUCUUGUUUCAAUGAGUAUGUGUUUGCCUACCUAAUUAUUCUAUCAUUGUCUAUUUUCUUUUUUCAAUACCUACAAUUUUUCUAUUUUUUUAAAAUUAUUUUUAGAAAUAACUUUUGUAUUACCUCUAUACAAACGUUGAGGUUUCAGUGCACAUUACUUAAGCUUAAUAUACAUUGCUAAAUUUAUUCGCAAUAAAUAAUGCUGCAAAUUAAAGAACAUAUGAGUUUAUUAUAAUUAUUCCCUCUCAAGAUUUUUUAGUUCAAUUAAAUUGAAUUUUAGUUUGUGUAGGAGUUAGUGGCCAUGGUUUACAUAAAUUUUCUGUUAAAUAAAAUUAUUUUUUUCUUUUUUGUUUAGACAGUGCGAUUUACUUACCUUAAUGUUGUAGCCAGACUCAGUUCAGGCUGAAUGCAGUACUUCAUGUUAGUAUUUUCGAGCUGUAUACUAUUCUUGGUAUUCCCAAGGAGCCCAUCAAAUGAGACCAAUGACAUUCGAAAGUAGUUGUAAAACUUGUUGCCAUCUCGUCGAAGUUCUUGAUAAAGCGUGGAAAAAACACCUGUUUCAUCGCGCCUUUGAUUAAUAGGAUGUACCCAAUACGUUUUGGUACAUCGGCGUUUUUGUCGUCGAAGACGUCGCCUACGGUAAAGAAGAUACAUGGCCAUGGCACGUGUACGAUCCAUUCCAAUGCUUACUUGCGACUACGCAAUGGCUAGCGCCUUAGCCAAAAAGGCUCCCCGUGUGAAAGCGUGGAAGGUACGAGCGGAAAAAGCUCCCGCUCGCGAGUGCGAGCCGCACGGCUCUCCGUGUGAAAGAGCCCUUAUGGGUUAUUCAGGGACUGUUAUUACCUGAUAGGCAGAAGAACACAGCUUAAGAUAGGCAGGAGAACACAGCUCAAACACAGGUUUUUACUUUUUGUCUUGUUUCUUUUUCAGAAAAUAGUUUCCAUACUUUUCACACUGUGGCAUUGAAAAGUUUACAUUUAGAGGUGUCAAUUAAAAAUAUACAGUAGAACCUUGUUAACUCGGACCUCUUUAACCCGGACGUCCGGAUAACCUGAACCAGUUUUGGGGGAAAAAAAUUAUGUUGUUAGUAAAUGAAUUUUUUUACAAACAAUAAAUCACUAUUUUCAGUGUAGUACAUUACUUGAAUUCACUUUCCAGCAGGCGAGUUCAUUGCACUCAUCCUACCUGCUGUUGUUAUGCAGCAAACUGGUGAUUCAACCCUCUCCUGCCCUGCACUUGACAUUGACCUAGAGACACUGCACUGCAAUCUCUGUUGUCCUAUUGUCACUGUUGAGGUACAGUAUCAUUGUGCUGUUUUUUUAGCAAGUUAUUCAUGAUGGUGACGUAAGUAAAAACAUUGUUGUGAGUAUGGAAAAAAGGUUGGAAGCAUUUACAAGAAUUGAUAAGGGAGAACUGUUAAAGAACAUCAUUGCUGAGUUUGGAGUAGGAACAUUGAUAAAUUGAUGGUUUUUUCUGAGAGUCAAGCCAAAACAUCGCCAAACGAGCUUCUAAUGCUGAAGCGGAUACAAGAUGGCGCUGCUCGUAAGUAAUUCACAAAACUGAGGCAGCAAAAACUCACUACCGUUUUUACUAACUACCGUUUUUACUACAGACUGGUUUGUACCUAUAUUAUGUACAGUGUAAAUACAUAUUAUGUGUUUUUAGGUGAAAGUGUGCCAAUAAUUUUUAAAACUCCAUUAAAAAUAUUUUUGAUAAGUUGCAUAGUACAUGUUUUUUUUUUUUUUUUAUCAUUUGCCCCUCAUCUCUGAAUAGCUUGGAUUUUCGUUAACUCAGAUCGGCCAUGACCCCAGUUGAUCCAGGUUAACGAGGUUCUACUGUACAGCCUAACUAACACCAUUAUCAUUUUUUUCAAAGCAAUUGUUGCUUAGGUGAUUGCCAUUACCCUGUUUUCACCUAUGGAAAAUUUUAUUUAGUAUUUCACAAUUUUACUUUAAGGGGUGGAAAAAAAGGAAUAGGGAGUUUUUUUUUCAUUUAAAAGCCCAGAAGCAUUCAGUAAUUUUAUUCUUUAUUUUUAAUGCCAAGUGUGCCAAAUUUAUUCAGAAAGUACCAAAAUUGUGCUUUAGAUGGUGGAAUUGGGGGCUGGAGUGGUUUUUCAAAAUCUCAUGUAGACAGUGACCUUACACUUUUUUCUAAAUCAUAUGUGGACAUUAAUUUUCUGCUUAUAUUGAAUGUCAUUGUGUGCAAAUUUUAAUCAAGACAUAUAAAAAUUCGGCCUUAAUGGGUUAGAAAGGGGGAUGGGAGUGGUUUUUCGACAUUUCAUCUAGACAGUGAACUUUCCACUUUUUUAUCAAUCAGUUGAGGACAGUAAUUUUCCCAUUGGUUUAAAUGCAAAGUUUGCAAAAAUUUAUUAAGAAGUACCACAAUUCUGCUUUAAGGAUUGGAAAAGGGGAAUUUCAUGUAGAGAUUGUGACUUGCCUCUUUUUUUAUAAAUCAGUUGUAGACAAUAAUUUUCACCUUAUUUUUAACUCAGAAGUGAGCAAAAUUUCAUCAAGUAAUGUCAAAGUUUUUUUUAGGGGGUGUUUCAAUAUUCAAGUUUGCAAAUAUCAUCAAACUUGGAGUAAAACAGUAGAUUUGUUUAAAACACAAUAAAUCAAAUAAACCUACAAACAUAAACAAAUCACACACCGAGAAUAAUAGGGCCACAUCUCAAAAAAACUAAAUUUUACAGGAGAGUGAAUAAUUGAAAGUUUAUUCUUAGCCUCAGCAAUCAGGAAGUGCAUAAUGUAGGCACUGUUUCUAUGGCACAAGUCAAAAUUUGGCCAUGGUGUAUUCCAACCCACCCUCAGCUGUACGAAUAAUAAGGCCGCAUGUCAACAUGUGGGGCUGUAUGAUUCUGAUUUCUGUUUUACAAAUUUAAAAUGUAAUAAGGACAUAUCUCAUCUCAGGUGAAUAUUUAUUGUACUACAUAUAUGACCUUGUUAUACCGAAUAGAUAUAGCCAUAGACAUUACAAAUAUACAAAAAUGUAAAAAAAAAUUUUUUUUUUGAGAUGUGGCCCUAUUAUUCUCGGUGUGCGAAAUGUAUCUCUCAAGAAUUCACUUUUACUGUUUGUAAUAUUUAUUUUAUUAUAUGCCUAUCUAGCAUAAUAUAACUUAACCAAUGGAGUGAACUUUGUAUUUAAUGUUGUUAUAACAAUUAGUCAAUGAAAUAUCAAGUAAUAAUAUAAUUUUCUUAAAUUGUAGUAUAUAACAAUAAUUUAUACAAAAAAAAGUUUAAAAAAAAAAUGUGUACCUAUGAUGGGAUUUGAAUCGGAAGACUUGGGGUACUUUAUCUCGCACUUACCUAUUGAGCUAUCAGUCACUGUGAGAUGUUACAAAGAAUAUUAAAGUCUUAAUAGUGUAAUCCCAGGAAAACAACAUAUUUUUUAAGUUGUGAUUAUUUCUUUUUGUGACUAUUUGCACUUAUAAUAAAUGUAAUCCAAGAUAGUCCUUGGUGUGCACUCAGAUCUUUACAUUUUCUUUGCACACUGAGAUUUCACUCUCAACAUUCCUAAAGAAGUAUCACUUUAUAUACAUUAAUUUAAUUGUAACAUUUGAUUGUUAGAAUAAACAUUGUUAACAUAAAAACCUAAAUUGGUAUGCCUAUAUCCCUUCACUUUUUAUACUCCCAUUACAGCAAACAAACAAAACUAUUAAUUUCUAUAAGUGCAUUAAAUUGCUAUGUUGAAAUUGAAAAAUGACCCUGUAGCAUUGCAGGACCCUGCCCUCUCCAGCUUUCAUGGAUAUUUUUUGAGAGGAAAAUUUUUUUAAAAUAAGGCAGAAUGUCAGCUGAUUAUAAAGUUCAAGGUGUUAGUGACCUAGUUUUGUAUUUGUAUUUUAUCAUUUGGAGUAUAUUUGUAAUAGUUAUAUUUUAUUAUUUUAUUUAUAAAGCCUGUUGACUGUAGUUUUACUGGUUUUCACUUUUUUGACUAGGUUACUAUUUAUGUGAGAUUUCCGAUAUUUUAUUUCAUUUAAAUAUUCUUUCUAUAACUAUACUUUUAUGUGUGUGUGUAUUGUAUAGUGUAUGACGUGGGACAGUGGUUUCUGUGAAAGAAAGAAAGAAAGAAAGGUAGAGGCGAGAUAGAGACGUUUGCCAGAACCGUGGGAGACCUCUCUAACCAGGAAAUCACAGAAUAGCAAUGGUAAAAAUAAUCUUUGUAGCCAAUAGGAAGGUGGCUUUUUUGGGGAAGUCCCCAGUUUUUAAUGUUUCGUGUGUUUUUUGUUCUGUACUUUGUCUAGUUAGUCAGUGUUAAAAGCGCUGGGCUGAGAGGAUGCACUGUUUCGUAGGCUCAGCAACAUGUAAAAUCUACAGCUAAAAAAAAAAAUAAACAGCAACAAACAUUUUAAACAUGUUUAUUUCAUUUCAAUAUGUAACAGAUUUUGAAUAAGUUAGUAAUUAUCAACAUAAUAUUUACACCCCACUACCUGCAACUUGAGCUGGAAUAAUUUUCAAGUGUUUAUGUAUGUGCAAGGAACAGUAGUCAUCUUAGUCGGGCAGGAAUGUGACUUGUCACAACCCCUUUUUGACAUAAAAAUUUAUUUAUCACCUUUUUUUACAAAAUUCCUUCAGUCACCUUCAAAAUACUCUCCAUUAGAUGUGAUGCACUUGUGGAGUCUUUUUUCCCACCAUUUGAAGAACCUCUGGAACUCUUUAACUUUGAUAUCCUACAGCGCACUUUACGAAGCUGUUUUUACCGCCUUCACAUCAUCAAAACACUUCCCUUUUAGAUAUUUCUUCAUUCUCGGGAACAGGAAAAAGUCGCACGGGGCUAGGUCUGGCGAAUAUGGAGGGCCAAAUAGUGGUUCACUUGUAAGGCAGUGUGUGCAGGGGUGUUGUCAUGAUGAAGGAACCAGUCACCUGAUCGCCAAAGUUUUGGGCAUUUCCAUCGCACUUCCUUACGCAAACGUCUUAAAACUUCCAAAUAAAAGUGCUGGUUAACAUUCUGGCCAGGGUGAACAAAUUUCUGGCGCACAAUCCUGCAAAGAUCAAAAAAGACAAUGAUCAUCGUCUUAACAUUCAACCUCACUUGUCUUGCAUUUUUUGGUUUGGGGGAGUUAGUUGGGAGUCUUCCACUUGGCUAAUGCUUGCUUGGUUUCUGGGUCAUACCUGUAACACCAACUCUCAUCACCUGUAAUGACUUUGGUCAAAAAGUUUGGAUCACUUUCAAUCUCUUUUUUCAAGUCCUGGCUCAAAUUCAAUACAAUUUGUUUUGAUCCUGUUUGAGGAAAGAAACAAAUUUAGAGGCAACACGUCUCAUUUGCAAAUCCUCAGUCAAAAUCCGCUGGCACGAGCUCCAACUGACUUCUGUCUCUUCUGAAAUUUUGUCGAUAGGGAAAUGACUAUCCUCAAUGAUUUUUCGCGGAUAUUUUAACGUUUCCAUCGUUUUGAGAUGUUGAAGGGUGCCCAGAAUGAGCAUGGUCUUCAACACUGAUCUCACCACGUUAAAAGUGCCAAAACCACUCAAAAACUUGUGUGUGGCUCAUAGAAUCCUCCUUGAAAGCCUCUUGAAGUAUUAGGUAAGCAGGAAGCAAAAUUUCAAACACACUCAUUGUUCUUUUAAAUCUGCCAUAACGACUUCGCAGGCGGAACACGAGAAGAGUAAGAGAUAAGCAUUACUACAAACAAAUGUUAACCUACAAACUGACACCAUCUGGGCAGCUGUUUAGUGAAGGUAUCUACUAACCCCAUCUAAUGUGAGAACUCUCUGCUACAUCUAGGAGUGGCAGUGCGCUCAUUCCGGUUUUUUUUUUUGGGUCCCCCCCUCCCCCCCCCCCUGUAAUGAUUUGAAUUUUUUGUGGUUCAAAAUUAUUUCUUAGUCCCAUCACAUUAGAAUUAAACAUGUUUUACUGUUGUAGAAAACUUUAAUUAUUUAUAGCUAAGCAAGCAUAGUAGUAAAAGAGCAUUUUACAAUAAAAAUUUUCUUCAAAUCACAUUUAAUUAUUUUUGAAUUUAUUAAGGAUGUUGAAAUCAAAGAACUCACAGACACUUAAUUCCUUGGGCUGCAUGUAGGUAAUCACAUAAACUGGAAAAACCAUGUAAUCUAUAUUUUACAAACAUUUGUGCUUCUUGUUUUGCCUGUUAUAAUGUUGUAUCAGUAUUAAGUAAACAUACAAAAGUAAUGAUUUAUUUUACAUAUUUCUAUUCCAUCAAGAACUAUGGAAUAAUGUUUGGGAGAAAAUCGAUUGAAAGCCGAAAAGUUUUGUAUAGGUACUAAAAAGAGCAGUAGAAUAUUAUCUGGCGAGAUGCUUCCCAUCUACAAGUCACGAAAUUCAUGAAAGUCUGUUAACCAGCUACACCAGUGUCUGCAGGCCACGAAAGUCAGAAAUAGUAAUGAAAAUGAAGGACUAGUCACAAACGACAAAACAAAAAAAAAAAAACAGUAUCUGUGCUAUAAAUCACAAAACUUUAGUUUCACAGCAUUUUGAUUUAUGCUGUCUUACAGUUUAUAAUUUCAUCUUAAAAAUAAAUAGUUGGAGACUGUCCACUUAAAUCAAGAGGAAAUUAUCUCUAAUAAGGUUUUAGCUUUCUCCAUGUCCCUAUGAAUAGUUGAUAAUUUCGAAUUACGUUUAGUUUUGAUUAUUAAAUAUAAAAAAUAAUUGUUAUGUAAAAAAGUAGCAUGAAAAUUGUAUUAUAAAGGUCCUGAAAAUUCCUGAAAUUUGUUUACCAGACAUUUGUAGACUUUCUGUACACUGACUGCAGAGCCAGUGGUGAUUUUAUAAAAUGGAAGAUUAGGAGAAAUGGGUGUUUGUUUGCUUAUUUCAUUUACUGUCAUUGUAUUAUUUUAUUUUUUUGUGUAAAAUGACUUAUCAAAUAGCUUUGUGCAAACUUUUACACUCAGUAAAUUCAAGUGAAACUUUGAAUGAUGUAUAUUAGAGGUUCCCAAAGUGUGUGGACACGUUGAGGCGCUCCUGUUUUCUCUUCUUCGAAAACUUAACUUACUUAUAUUCGCAAUAAACAAUUCAAAUUGUGCACGCUGCAUGCACCACUUGCUGCAUUCGCUGGUACUCACGCUCAGGGUUAUAUUUGGAAAUGAGAUCACCAAGCUCACAUGUCACAUUGAUUAACUUGACACUGAAUUUUUUAAGUAUUUUUCUGUUAUAAUAAUAUGGUCUUGUGUGUCAGUUCUAAUAUAUAUAACUAUGCGAGCCUCAGAUUGUGGUAUGUGAGCCUCAGAUUGUGGAUAAUUUCAUUUCUGUGCCUAGUGUCAUUAAAAAAAUACCUUUAUCUUUUUAUUUUGUCAUUGUACACAUAUUUCAACUUGGUAGGGCUCUGCGACAAAUGACUAAACCUGUAAGUGCGCCGCAAAAUGAAAAAUGUUUGGGGACCCCUGAUGCAUAUCACUAAAACAAAGUAGGUAACUGCUAUUUUGAUAUCAAGAGGAUUGAUUUAAGAUUCUUUCAAAUAUAUUUCAUUUAGACAUCUUCUAUUCUGUCUUUAAUUAAAUUUUGCAACCAUGGUUUAGAAUGGCUUAAGUAAAUUUCAGCAAUCAAGCAUCCUUAGUUGUUUUCUUGAUUUUGUAAAGUAAUAUUUUUAUGAAAGAAAAUGAGUUGGCAACUACUACAUAGGUAGCAUUAAAAAAUUAAUACUCAUAAUGGUGUGAACAUUGUAGGCAUAGAGCAAUUUUCUCUUCGUGAAAUAAAAAUUAAACCAUAAAGAAAAAA